rnacentral:rRNA from 1 species
UACGGAGGAUGCAAGCGUUAUCCGGAAUGAUUGGGCGUAAAGCGUCCGCAGGUGGCUGUGUAAGUCUGCUGUUAAAGAGUCUAGCUCAACUAGAUAAAAGCAGUGGAAACUACACGGCUAGAGUACGUUCGGGGCAGAGGGAAUUCCUGGUGUAGCGGUGAAAUGCGUAGAGAUCAGGAAGAACACCAGUGGCGAAGGCGCUCUGCUAGGCCGUAACUGACACUGAGGGACGAAAGCGUGGGGAGCAAACAGG